rnacentral:pre_miRNA from 1 species
CUGUGGAGCAUUGGACAUUGCCGGUGUGUGUUUUGUGACAAUGAGAUUUAAUAGUUUAAGUUCAUCCCCUUGUUGCAAACCUCACGCUGGCGGUGUUUCCGA